GGAAGAGAUGUAUUUAUUAGAUAAAAAACCAAUGCGUUCGGGCUCUAUGGUGAAUCAUAAUAACUUGUCGAAUCGCAUGGCCUUGUGCCGGCGAUGGUUCAUUCAAAUUUCUGCCCUAUCAACUUUCGAUGGUAGGAUCAAGGCCUACCAUGGUUUUAACGGGUAACGGCCAAUCAGGGUUCGAUUCCGGAGAGGUUGCCUGAGAAACGGCUACCACAUCCAAGGAAGGCAAUAGGCGCGCAAAUUACCCAAUCCUGACACAGGGAGGUAGUGACAAUAAAUAACGAUACGGGGCCUAUUAGGUCUCGUAAUUGGAAUGAGAACAAUUUAAAUACCUUAACGAGGAACAAUUAGAGGGCAAGUCUGGUGCCAGCAGCCGCGGUAAUUCCAGCUCUGAUAGUAUAUAUUAAAGUUGUUGCAGUUAAAAAGCUCGUAGUUGAAACUUGGGUGCGUAGGGGCGGUCCCUUUUAGAGUACUACCCUGAAACAUCUUUCUUUGGUGUAAACUCUUUAUUCAGUUAAGGAGUGUAAACCAAACAUUUAC
rnacentral:rRNA from 1 species